GUUUGCUUUAGACAAUGGCCACUGUGUUGGUGUAAUUGAGAGUGGUACACAGAAACAGGAUCUUGCCUUUGUGCUAUGUCAACAGCUUUGGAAAAAAAAUCAUGUAUAGGAGGAAGGAUGAGAAGGAUUCUAACUAGAGAUUACACCAGCUCCAGUUUGGAUCCAGCCUCUUACGAAGACUUCAGAUGACGAAACACCUGUGAAGAGAUGACGCCAACCCCAUGUGAGGACUUCAGAUGACGCCAACUCCGAAUCAACAUGCACCACUGCCAAAUUUUCUAUAUAUUGUAAUUGUAAUCAUUAUGAUCACAACUUGUAAUAAUUGUUUUAAUGAGCUCAUUUUUUUCUGCAUAAAUGAUUACAUGAUGUUAGCUAACUACAUGAUUUGAAUUAUUUUAGAAUUCUACAUUUCUGACAUAUGGACAUUACUUGGACACAGUCACCUCUGAAUAACAGAUUACUCUAAAUGGUAGAAACGUGCAUUUUUUGUAAAGCUGCUUUUCACAAUAUGUAUUGUGAAAAGCGCUAUACAAAUAAAUGUGAAUUGAAUUUAA